rnacentral:rRNA from 1 species
AUGAACGCUAGCGACAGGCCUAACACAUGCAAGUCGAGGGGCAGCACAAGGAGCAAUCUGAGGUGGCGACCGGCGCACGGGUGAGUAACACGUAUGCAACCUGCCUGUAAGCGGGGAAUAACCCGUUGAAAGACGGACUAAUACCGCAUAAUACUAAAUUACUGCAUGGUAAUUUAUUUAAACAUUUAUGGCUUACAGAUGGGCAUGCGCAUGAUUAGCUAGUUGGAGAGGUAACGGCUCCCCAAGGCAACGAUCAUUAGGGGUUCUGAGAGGAAGGUCCCCCACACUGGUACUGAGACACGGACCAGACUCCUACGGGAGGCAGCAGUGAGGAAUAUUGGUCAAUGGACGAGAGUCUGAACCAGCCAAGUCGCGUGCAGGAAGAAUGUCCUAUGGAUUGUAAACUGCUUUUGCAGGGGAAUAAAGUGCAUCACGUGUGAUGUUUUGUAUGCACUCUGCGAAUAAGGAUCGGCUAACUCCGUGCCAGCCGCUGC